rnacentral:rRNA from 1 species
UACGUAGGGGGCAAGCGUUGUCCGGAAUUAUUGGGCGUAAAGAGCGUGUAGGCGGUCCGGUAAGUCAGUUGUGAAAGUCAAGGGCUCAACCCUUGAAUGCCGGUUGAUACUGUCGGGCUAGAGUCCGGAAGAGGCGAGUGGAAUUCCCGGUGUAGCGGUGAAAUGCGCAGAUAUCGGGAGGAACACCAAUGGCGAAGGCAGCUCGCUGGGACGGUACUGACGCUGAGACGCGAAAGCGUGGGGAGCAAACAGG